UACGUAGGGAGCAAGCGUUGUCCGGAAUCAUUGGGCGUAAAGCGCGCGUAGGUGGCCCAGUAAGUCCGUUCUGAAAGUCACAGGCUCAACCUGUGAAAGCGGAUGGAUACUGCUGGGCUAGAGUCCGGAAGAGGCGAGUGGAAUUCCUGGUGUAGCGGUGGAAUGCGCAGAUAUCAGGAGGAACACCAACGGCGAAGGCAGCUCGCUGGGACGUAACUGACGCUGAGACGCGAAAGCGUGGGGAGCAAACAGG
rnacentral:rRNA from 1 species